rnacentral:rRNA from 1 species
UCCGGAGGGGGCAAGCGUUGUCCGGACUUACUGGGCGUAAAGGGUGCGUAGGCGGCCUGCUGCGUCGGUGCUGAAAGCGCCCGGCUUAACCGGGCGAGGCGUGCCGAUACGAGCGGGCUGGAGCCUUGGCGAGGGUGGCGGAACUCCUGGUGUAGUGGUGAAAUGCGUAGAGAUCAGGAAGAACACCCGUGGCGCAAGCGGCCACCUGGCCAAGAGCUGACGCUGAGGCACGAGAGCGUGGGGAGCGAACCGG